CUUCCUUUUUUGCUUGUUGUUUUAUUUUUUCUAUUUCCAUUUUUCUAUCUAUUUCUUCAUUUUCUUUUGUUAUUCUUAUCAUAGCAGUUAAACUAUCUUCUAGUUUUACCGUUUCUUUUUCUAACAUUAAAUUUAGAUUGUCACCUAUUUUCUUAUAUCUUCUUCCUAGAUUAGAAAAUAUUAUCUUAAUUUUUAAUCCGUCAUAGUUUUCAUAUGAUUUUUCAUCUAUUGCGUAUUC
rnacentral:lncRNA from 1 species